UACGUAGGGUGCAAGCGUUAAUCGGAAUUACUGGGCGUAAAGCGCGCGUAGGCGGCUUUGCAAGUCGGGUGUGAAAUCCCCAGGCUUAACCUGGGAACUGCACUCGAGACUGCAUUGCUAGAGUAUGGGAGAGGGAAGUGGAAUUUCCGGUGUAGCGGUGAAAUGCGUAGAUAUCGGAAGGAACAUCAGUGGCGAAAGCGACUUCCUGGACCAAUACUGACGCUCAUGUGCGAAAGCGUGGGGAGCAAACAGG
rnacentral:rRNA from 1 species